UACGAAGGGAGCUAGCGUUGUUCGGAAUCACUGGGCGUAAAGCGCACGUAGGCGGAUAUUUAAGUCGGGGGUGAAAUCCCGGGGCUCAACCCCGGAACUGCCUUCGAUACUGGGUAUCUUGAGUUCGGAAGAGGUGAGUGGAAUUGCGAGUGUAGAGGUGAAAUUCGUAGAUAUUCGCAGGAACACCAGUGGCGAAGGCGGCUCACUGGUCCGAUACUGACGCUGAGGUGCGAAAGCGUGGGGAGCAAACAGG
rnacentral:rRNA from 1 species